AUUGAACGCUGGCGGCAUGCUUUACACAUGCAAGUCGAACGGCAGCGCGGGCUUCGGCCUUGCGGCGAGUGGCGAACGGGUGAGUAAUGCAUCGGAACGUGCCCAGUAGUGGGGGAUAGCCCGGCGAAAGCCGGAUUAAUACCGCAUACGACCUGAGGGUGAAAGCGGGGGACCUAACGACCUCGCGCUAUUGUAGCGGCCGAGGUCGGAUUAGCUAGUUGGUGGGGUAAAGGCUUACCAAGGCGACGAUCCGUAACUGGUCUGAGAGGACGACCAGCCACACUGGGACUGAGACACGGCCCAGACUCCUACGGGAGGCAGCAGUGGGGAAUUUUGGACAAUGGGGGCAACCCUGAUCCAGCCAUGCCGCGUGCGGGAAGAAGGCCUUCGGGUUGUAAACCGCUUUUGUUCGGGAAGAAAUCCUCUGGGCUAAUACCCCGGGGGGAUGACGGUACCGGAAGAAUAAGCACCGGCUAACUACGUG
rnacentral:rRNA from 1 species